CUGCUGCCUUCCGUAGGAGUUUGGGCCGUGUCUCAGUCCCAAUGUGGCCGUUCACCCUCUCAGGCCGGCUACUGAUCGUCGCCUUGGUGGGCUGUUACCCCGCCAACAAGCUAAUCAGACGCGGAUCCAUCGUAUACCACCGGAGUUUUUCACACCGUCUCAUGCGGGACUGUGCGCUUAUGCGGUAUUAGCACCUAUUUCUAAGUGUUAUCCCCCAGUAUACGGCAGGUUAUCCACGCGUUACUCACCCGUCCGCCA
rnacentral:rRNA from 1 species